CCCUUAGAUGUUCUGGGCCGCACGCGCGCUACACUGAUGAAUGCAACGAGCUCUACCCUUGACCGAAAGGCCCGGGUAAACUUGUGAAACUUCAUCGUGAUGGGGAUAGAUUAUUGCAAUUAUUAAUCUUCAACGAGGAAUUCCUAGUAAGCGCGAGUCAUCAGCUCGCGUUGAUUACGUCCCUGCCCUUUGUACACACCGCCCGUCGCUCCUACCGAUUGAAUGGUCCGGUGAAAUCUUCGGAUUGCUGACUAAGAUCCAGCAAUGGAGCUUGGUUGCGAGAAGUUGAUUAAACCUUAUUAUUUAGAGGAAGGAGGAGUCGUAACA
rnacentral:rRNA from 1 species